GACGAACGCUGGCGGCGUGCCUAAUACAUGCAAGUCGAACGCAGUGGGGACGGGUGAGUAACACGUGGGUAACCUCCCAUCAGAGGGGAUAACACUUGGAAACAGGUGCUCAACCGAUACUGCUGGAUGGACCCGCGGUGCAUUAGCUAGUUGGUGGGGUAACGGCUCACCAAGGCCACGAUGCAUAGACGGCCUGAAGGGGUGAUCGGCCAAACUUGGACUUAGAAACGGCCCAGACUCCUACGGGAGGCAGCAGUGGGGAAUAUUGCACAAUGGGGGAAAGCCUGAUCCAGCCAUGCCGCGUGUGUGAAGAAGGCCUUCGGGUUGUAAAGCACUUUCAGCGAGGAGCGUUACUCGCAGAAGAAGCACCGGCUAACUCCGUGCCAGCAGCCGCGGUAAUUC
rnacentral:rRNA from 1 species